rnacentral:tRNA from 1 species
GGGUAGGUGGUCGAGUGGUUAAAGGCGGCAGACUGUAAAUCUGCUCACGUAAGUGUACGCUGGUUCGAAUCCAGCCCUGCCCACCA